AACAGGACCGCAGGAGGCCAUCGAAGGCACAAACCAUCUUUAAAGAAACGAAAGAGAAGGGAGGCUAGGACACCUCCCACCCCUGGACUCUCAUUCCAGAACCCUGUUUCCUGUGGUGGUGAGGGGACCCAGGACCUCAUUCAUCCCAACUCAUGCUCCGCCACUGAGCCACGUUCCAGUCCUCACUCAUCCUUGAAGCGAAGGACAUUUGACCCAGUCUGCGGGGUCCUGGAACGGAACUUAAGCUGUCAAGCUUGUGCAUCAUGAGCUUUACCUGCCUGGCCUUCUCAUCAGCCCAUUUGGGCUAAAGAUAUGGCUUUAGUGGUUAAGAGUACUUGCUGCUUUUGCAGAGGACCACAUAGGGGCUCACAACUGCCUGUAACUCCAGUUCCAGAGGAUCUGAUGCCCUCUUUGUCCCUGAGGGCACCAGAUACAUACAAAGUAAAUGCAGACACUUAUAUACACAUGUAAAAUAAAUAAGGGCUGGAGAGAUGGCUCAGUGGUUAAGAACACUGGCUGUUCUUCCAGGGGACCUGGGCUCAAUUCUCAGCACUCACGUGGCAGCUCACAACUGUCUGUAACUCUAGUUCCAGGAGCUCUGACACCCUCACACAGAUACAUGCAGGCACAACAGCAAAGCACACAAAAUAAAA